rnacentral:piRNA from 1 species
CUCCUACUUGGAUAACUGUGGUA